rnacentral:rRNA from 1 species
UACGAAGGGGGCUAGCGUUGUUCGGAAUUACUGGGCGUAAAGCGCACGUAGGCGGUCGAUUAAGUCAGGGGUGAAAUCCCGGAGCUCAACUCCGGAACUGCCUUUGAUACUGGUCGUCUAGAGAUCGGAAGAGGUGAGUGGAAUUCCCAGUGUAGAGGUGAAAUUCGUAGAUAUUCGCAAGAACACCAGUGGCGAAGGCGGCUCACUGGCUCGUAACUGACGCUCAUGCACGACAGCGUGGGGAUCAAACAGG